rnacentral:lncRNA from 1 species
CAUAUAGUAGUCUCUUAUGAUCCUUUGUAUUUCUGUGAUGUCCGUUGUUACUUCUCCUUUUUCAUUUCUAAUUUUAUUGAUUUGAGUCCUCUCUCUUUUUUGCUUGAUAAGUCUGGCUAGGGGUUUAUCAAUUUUGUUGAUCUUUUCAAAGAACCAGCUUUUCGUUUCAUUGAUCUUUUCUAUGGUUUUCUUUGUUUCUAUUUCAUUGAUUUCUGCUCUGAUCUUUAUGAUUUCUUUCCUUCUACUAACUUUAGGUCUUGUCUGUUCUUCUCUCUCGAGCUGCUUUAGAUGUAAAGUUAGCUUGUUUAUUUGAGCUUUUUCUUGUUUCCUGAGGUGGGCUUGUAUUGCUAUAAACUUUCCUCUUAGAACGGCUUUUGCUGCAUCCCAUAGGUUUUGGAGUGUCGUAUCUUCGUUGUCAUUUGCUGCUAGGUAUUUUUUAAUUUCCUCUUUGAUUUCUUCAGUGAUCCAUUGGUUGUUUAGUAGCAUGUUGUUGAGUCUCCACGUGUUUGUGUUUUUUGCAGUUUUUUUCUUGUUGUUGAUUUCCAGUCGUAUAGCAUUGUGGUCGGAAAAGAUGCUUGAUAUGAUUUCAAUUUUCUUAAAGUUACUGAGGUUGGAUCUGUAGCCCAGGAUAUGAUCAAUCUUAGAGAAUGCUCCAUGUGUACUUGUGAAGAAUGUGUUUUCUGUUGCUUUUGGAUGAAAUGUCCUAUAAAUAUCUAUUAAGUCCAUCUGGUCUAAUGCUUCAUUCAGGGCCUGUGUUUCCUUAUUGAUUGUCUGUCUGGCUGAUCUGUCCAUUGUUGUAAGUGGGGUGUUAAAGUCCCCACUAUGAUUGUGUUAUUGUUUAUUUCUCCUUUUAAGGUUGUUAGCAGUUGCCUUAUAUAUUUGGUGAACCUGUGUUGGGUGCAUAGAUAUUUAAACUUGUUAUAUCUUCUUCUUGGAGUGAUCCUUUGAUCAUUACGUAAUGUCCUUCUUUGUCCCUUAAAAUAUUCUUCAUUUUAAAGUCUAUUUUGUCUGUUAUGAGUAUUGCUGCUCCAUCUUUCUUUUGAUUCCCGUUUGCAUGAAAUAUUUUCUUCAUCCUCUCACUUUCAAUUUGUAUGUGUCCCUAGAAGUGAAGUGGGUCUCUUGAAGACAGCAUAUAUAUGGGUCUUGUUUUUGUAUCC